rnacentral:rRNA from 1 species
AUUGAACGCUGGCGGCAGGCCUAACACAUGCAAGUCGAACGAGGGGCGGACGGGUGAGUAAUGUCUGGGAAACUGCCUGAUGGAGGGGGAUAACUACUGGAACCGGUAGCUAAUACCGCAUAGCAUCAGAUGUGCGCAGAUGGGAUGAGCUAGUUGGUGGGGUAACGGCUCACAAAGGCGACGAUCACUAGCUGGUCUGAGAGGAGGACCGGCCACACGGGAACUGAGACACGGUCCAGCCUCCUACGGGAGGCAGCAGUGGGGAAUAUUCCGCAAUGGGCGAAAGCCUGAUGCAGCCAUGCCGCGUGUGUGAAGAAGGCCUUCGGGUUGUAAAGCUCUUUCAGCGGGGAGGCGGUACCCGCAGAGGAAGCACCGGCUAACUCCGUGCCAGCAGCCGCGGUAAUUC